GACGAACGCUGGCGGCGUGCCUAAUACAUGCAAGUCGAGCGGACAGAUGGGAGCUUGCUCCCUGAUGUUAGCGGCGGACGGGUGAGUAACACGUGGGUAACCUGCCUGUAAGACUGGGAUAACUCCGGGAAACCGGGGCUAAUACCGGAUGGUUGUUGAACCGCAUGGUCAACAUAAAAGGUGGCUUCGGCUACCACUUACAGAUGGACCCGCGGCGCAUUAGCUAGUUGGUGAGGUAACGGCUCACCAAGGCAACGAUGCGUAGCCGACCUGAGAGGGUGAUCGGCCACACUGGGACUGAGACACGGCCCAGACUCCUACGGGAGGCAGCAGUAGGGAAUCUUCCGCAAUGGACGAAAGUCUGACGGAGCAACGCCGCGUGAGUGAUGAAGGUUCGGAUCGUAAAGCUCUGUUGUUAGGGAAGAACAAGUACCGUUCGAAUAGGGCGGUACCUUGACGGUACCUAACCAGAAGCCACGGCUAACUACGUGCCAGCAGCGCGGUAAUACGUAGGUGGCAAGCGUUGUCCGGAAUUAUUGGGCGUAAAGGGCUCGCAGGCGGUUCUAAGUCUGAUGUGAAAGCCCGGCUCAACCGGGAGGGUCAUUGGAAACUGGGGAACUUGAGUGCAAAGAGAGAGUGGAAUCCACGUGUACG
rnacentral:rRNA from 2 species